GGCAUACGAUGAAGUGGGAGAUUGCUGCGAAUUAAGAUGCAGGUAACUUCUAUGGAGAAUGUCCGAUUCUAGAAACCGGGCGACAA
rfam:[Clostridium] straminisolvens JCM 21531 DNA, contig: contig00040.